GAUGAACGCUGGCGGCGUGCCUAAUACAUGCAAGUCGAGCGAACAGACGAGGAGCUUGCUCCUCUGACGUUAGCGGCGGACGGGUGAGUAACACGUGGAUAACCUACCUAUAAGACUGGGAUGACUUCGGGAAACCGGAGCUAAUACCGGAUAAUAUAUUGAACCGCAUGGUUCAAUAGUGAAAGACGGUUUUGCUGUCACUUAUAGAUGGAUCCGCGCCGCAUUAGCUAGUUGGUAAGGUAACGGCUUACCGAGGCAACGAUGCGUAGCCGACCUGAGAGGGUGAUCGGCCACACUGGAACUGAGACACGGUCCAGACUCCUACGGGAGGCAGCAGUAGGGAAUCUUCCGCAAUGGGCGAAAGCCUGACGGAGCAACGCCGCGUGAGUGAUGAAGGUCUUCGGAUCGUAAAACUCUGUUAUUAGGGAAGAACAAAUGUGUAAGUAACUAUGCACGUCUUGACGGUACCUAAUCAGAAAGCCACGGCUAACUACGUG
rnacentral:rRNA from 1 species